ensembl:lncRNA
CUCUGGUGUGAGCGUUCUGACCGACCGCUUGUAUACAAGUGAAAACCACAGCGUCUGUGUGUGUUUCUACUCUUAGACUCUCAGCUGAAGAAGUGUCUUUAGAAUAAAUCUCUUGACACUUCUUCUUUUUGUUUUUCACCCAGGAGCAGGCUCUUCUCCUGCCAUUUCAUCAACAGUGUAUGAAAAUGUUCAGGUAACUGAUCUACAAAUGGAUAUCUACGACAAUGACACAAAAUAGAAAAAGAAAAGAGAUUUUUCCGGAACCCUGUCGUACCUUCACCCCUGGACCCCUAGACCCGUGAGCGCCAAAACAGAGAGAAUGAGGAGGAGCUUCUUCCCCCAGGCUAUUCUUCUAUCUUCUACCUCUGCUACACGUGCUGACAUAUUGCAUCUCUGUGUGGUUCUCGAGCUGCACAAUGGCAUACAAAGGGUCAUUACCGUCACCCAGAAAAUCAUUGGCAACCCCCUCCCCUCCCUGGAGGACCUCUACAGCACCUGCUGUCUCAAAAUGGGAUACAACAUUUCGAUAUAUGUUAUUUAUUAUGAUUACUUCUUGUCUUUCUUUUAGCAACAGUGUGCUUUUAGCUCCAAUAUCAUUGUAAUAUUAUACAAUGUAUGACUGCACAGUGACAACGAGUUAAAGAGUUAGAAUUUUUGUGAUAGACAAAUAACCUGCCCCACCUUUCACCUUAUGAUCGCUGGGAUAGGCUUCAGCCAUGCGAAAACCUGAAUUGUAUCAAUGGAUGGAUAAUACUGUGUAAUGAUACUUUGCAACAUUUUUAAUGUCAACCAGUAAGUCCUUGAAAUAGUUUCGUGAUGUUGUCUGUUUCCUUUGCUGCACUCCAUAUUGUGGUGUGUGUAUUUUCAUGUGCAUUAAAAAUAUAAAUUGAUGUUCAGUCUAUGUUUUAUGCAUAUCACCUCACAGAGCAUUAGCAAAUGCUGAAUCCCUUCAUAAAUUAAAAAAGACUACAUUUGAGUUGAGCUAAAAAACAUCUGACACUACCAAGCUCUUGAAUAUUUAUAGGCCAAGUAAUCAUUUGGCAGUAUAUUCAAAGCACAUUGUAUUUUAAUAAAAGAUAUGAUUGAAGGACAUAAUGAAUAUUCAUUACAUUUACUCCAUCAAAUGACUCUCUGCCUUUGACGUUAAAAUGACAAACUUUGUUUUCAAACUGUAGUUUUCUAUUUUUUUAAAAUUAUUAAUACUUUUUUUUUU